GGCCUGUAGCUCAGUGGUAGAGUGCCUGCCUUGCGUGUUUGAGGCACUGGGUUCGAUCCUCAGUACCA
rnacentral:tRNA from 1 species